UGCAAAUGGGUCCAUUAUGAACAGAUACAAGCGUUUGCAUUAUCGGUGCGGAUCCGUCUGUGCAGAUACAAGACGGAUCCACACCAAAUGCGAGUGUGAAAGUAGCCUAAACCAAGGAUGCAAAUACAGUUCUUAUGAUAGUUCGUUGCUACAGAUGUGAAUGCAUUUGUAUGGUCAUGAUAUAUUAGUCACCUGCGAGAUAAGCAUCAACAAUGGGAACCUAUCAGGGCCCUGUUAUGCACAUG